rnacentral:rRNA from 1 species
GAUGAACGCUGGCGGCGUGCUUAACACAUGCAAGUCGAACGGAAAGGCUCCUGCUUGCAGGGGUACUCGAGUGGCGAACGGGUGAGUAACACGUGGGUGAUCUGCCCUGCACUUCGGGAUAAGCCUGGGAAACUGGGUCUAAUACCGGAUAGGACGAUGGUUUGGAUGCCAUUGUGGAAAGUUUUUUCGGUGUGGGAUGAGCUCGCGGCCUAUCAGCUUGUUGGUGGGGUAAUGGCCUACCAAGGCGUCGACGGGUAGCCGGCCUGAGAGGGUGUACGGCCACAUUGGGACUGAGAUACGGCCCAGACUCCUACGGGAGGCAGCAGUGAGGAAUAUUGCACAAUGGGCGCAAGCCUGAUGCAGCGACGCCGCGUGGGGGAUGACGGCCUUCGGGUUGUAAACUCCUUUCGCUAGGGACGAAGCGCAAGUGACGGUACCUGGAGAAGAAGCACCGGCUAACUACGUG